UCCAUGUGGCUGAGGAUGACUGUGGUGCUUUUCAGAACAGCCCUGGUCUUUGUUGUGACUGUGACUUCUUGGCUCCAGCGUAGAACCCUCAGACUACCAGCACAGCCCCUUCACCCCGCUGGCAUAGACUUUCUGGCUUCCACUGCUGACCUUUGGGCCUUCCCAGCAUGGAUCCAUAAAAGAGACUGGUGGUAAUACAUGACUCCAGGAAUGAAUUAGGGAGAAUGGCUUCACUUUGUACUUCAUUGAAGAGUUUGAGGAGUCUUGGCAUUAAAUCUUCUCUAAAUUUCUUGUAGAAUUCAGUGGUGAAUGCAUCAAGACCUGGGAUUUUCCUUGGUGAAUGUCACAUGUGAAGCUGAGAUGAAUGUGUAUUAUGAUGACAUUAGCUGUAAUACUUAGAAAAUAUCUACUGCAUUCAUUUGUUCACAGGGGUAGUUGAAGAAUUGACAAAUAAGGACUGAAGUGUGAACCAUUGUGUACCACGAAUAUGUGAGACCUAAGAAUGAUUCUCACCACAGAAGAAUGGAGCACAGCCAUGCAAGAUCUCAUCAUAUUGCUCGGAUAAUAUAUUUGAAACUUAUGAAUUGUUCAUGCCUGAAAUUUUUCAUUUAAUAUUUUUAGAUGACAAGUGUCAGUGUGUAACUAAAAACAAAAAAUUAAAUAACAGAUACUAUUGCAAAAUGGCUUGUGAGUAAGGUAGAUAAAGAAGAAUAAACAAGAAGUUUCCUCUAAGAAGAAACCACUACACAUUUGCUUUACACACCACAACUAUAUUUGGACAAUAUUUAAUACUGCUAGUUGCAUUGUACUCUUAUGGUGCAGAGAAUUUCCCUCAGGCACGACUUCUAAAUGGACUAAGUCCAUAGUCCCUUAAUUCCUACAUGUAAAGAAGGACGUCUCAGUGUAGAAAGCCAUCAUUCCUCCCCACCAGUACAUCACCUAAUUAUCCCUCCCUGAGUCCCAAGCAGCAGGCUGCCUUAGUCAUCCAGUUCAGUGCUUACCAGACAAUCUGCUCUGAAAGACCAGUGUUUUCUCAUGGCCUGGUGUGAAUUACAAUGAAAUAAAUUCCUCUGACUAUAGGAAUUAACCUCCAAGUGUACUUUUAAUCUUUGACUGAUUUGCACACCUGUGGCAGGAGUUGUCUGAGGUAAAAAGAAAGCAAUAGGCUGAAUAAUUUCCAGAGCUCACAUGAUGCAAGAUACAGUGUUUAUUCACAGCAACCAACACUCA